rnacentral:lncRNA from 1 species
AGGCUCUAGAUGAUCCAGUACGUCUUCUUCAAGUAAAAUAAUUUUACUCUAAGAGAGAUAUUGAACAGAUGUUAUAUCUGGUGCAUCAGAUGUUAUAUCUGAUGUACCAGAUAGGACAUCUGUUGCGACUGGGUAUGAUUGAUAUCUUGCAUCAGAUUACACAUCUUUGCUUUGGUCCUUUGAACCCGACUCCUAACAGAUUAACUAUCUACUGCAAAUUAUGCAACAGAUGU